GAGGAGACCUCGGCGGCGGCGGAGGAGGAGAGAAGCGCAGCGCCGCGCCGCGCCGGGGCCCAUGUGGGGAGGAGUCGGAGUCGCUGUUGCCGCCGCCGCCAGUAACUGCUGGACCCGAGUGGGAGUGAGGGGGAGACGGCAGGAUGAAGUUCGCCGAGCACCUCUCCGCGCACAUCACUCCUGAGUGGAGGAAGCAAUACAUCCAGUAUGAGGCUUUUAAGGAUAUGCUAUACUCAGCUCAGGACCAGGCACCUUCUGUGGAAGGUAAGAUGCAUUAAUCCCUGUGUUUAGCCACAUAAACCUCUUUUUAAGAAAAGAUAUUUUAAACUGAGCAGUAUAAAACUAAUAUAACCUGCCCUAUUAUAUAGAUCUUUUUUGGUUUUUGUAAUUAUAUCAUGAUUACUCUAUGUUUCAGUAAUUUUUUUGUGUAGCUCACAUUUACCUUAUGGUGGAUCUCUUAUUCUGUCCUUUAGUCACCUUAGCAUUAUGAAUCACAAAUAUUGGUUUAAAGUUCUUAAUCUGCAUCAUCUUCCCUCUUCCCAACAAUGUAUUUUUAUUUCUCUCUCUGUUUAUCUAUUCAUCCAUCCCCCAUCCAUCCUUCAUUCAGCGGAUCCUCAGUCUGUAAUUAGUCUGGGCAACACAGCUUUUUCUUUCUAUUUAUGUCAUGUCGUUAGACUGGAAUUAGUAAAACAAUGGAACAUAUUUACUCUCUGUGUGUGGGUAUAAGCGUGUAUAUAUAUGCAUGUGCACAGUUCAGCAUUCAUAAAAUGACUGACCUAAGGACAGUAGUUAUCUUUCCAAUUAUCUUUAUUGAUCCUUCCUUUACUGUUAUCUCAGCUUCUGUUCACCAGCUCAUUCUUUAUGGGUUUAACCUUUGGUAGAUUUGGAGAGUUGUAAGUUAAAGUUAUAGUUCUUCUGUCAGUAAAUAAUUAGGAGCUAAUUCAGCAGCUGUUUCUUGAGUGAGUCUUACUUCAGAGGCUGGAAAUAUCAAGCAAAAUUAAAAAUGUUUGCAUCACAUAUUUUUAGGAGAGAUGAAUAUGAAGUUGUUUAUUGAAAAGAGAGAUCUGUAGUUAAAAAUCUCAUUGUCUUUAAUGACAUAGAAGUAUAUAUCUCAUCUCUGACUAUUCUGCAAUCAAAUGCCCUAACAUUGAGCUGUAUCUUCUCACUGACCAUUCCGAAUUCAAAAUGUGCUUCCUUCAAAAUCUUUAUUAGUGUAUUGGCGCUUAGGUAUUAGCUUUAUAAUAUGUUACUGAAUUUUGGAUUAUAGUAUAUUUAUUUCCCUAAUAUUUAAGUGAAGACUCUUAAGAUUUAUUAAAAUGUUUAAUUCUUUAUUGGGUUAUUAUUUCUUGUUUAUUUGUUCUAAAGAGUAUCUCCUUAAAAUAUUUUAAGAAUGUAAGAAAAAUGAAAUUACAUUGAAGUUAAACUGAUUUCCUCACCGUGUGUAACUUGCUUUAGUAUUGAUUCUUCUAAUAUUAUUCUUAAGGUUAGGCUACUUAUCCCUAAUUCUUUCAAAGUUUUACCAUCUGGUUUGUAACAAAGGUAUUCUGAAAUGUACUGACAAUUAUCAUAAUCUUUAUUCAUACCUCUCUGCUGGGUCAUGUUGCUAGUAAUUCUUAUACACGUUAGUUAUUAUUAUAGAAAAA
rnacentral:lncRNA from 1 species